GCCAGGCGUGGUGGUGCACGCCUGUAGUCCCAUUCACUCAGGAGGCUGAGGCAGGAGGAUCACUUGAGCCCAGGAGGCAGAGGUUGCAGUGAGCUAUGACUGUACCACUGCACUCCAGCCUAGGCAACAGAGUGAGACCUUGUCUCAA
rnacentral:SRP_RNA from 2 species